GUGGAUUAGAUACCCUGGUAGUCCACGCCCUAAACGAUGUCAACUAGGUGUUGGGGAAGGAGACUUCUUUAGUGCCGCAGCUAACGCGUGAAGUUGACCGCCUGGGGAGUACGGUCGCAAGAUUAAAACUCAAAGGAAUUGACGGGGACCCGCACAAGCGGUGGAUUAUGUGGAUUAAUUCGAUGCAACGCGAAAAACCUUACCUACCCUUGACAUGUCAGGAACUUUCCAGAGAUGGAUUGGUGCCCGAAAGGGAACCUGAACACAGGUGCUGCACGGUCGUCGACAGCU
rnacentral:rRNA from 1 species